GAAGUAACUAGUCUUGCUUUUUCGGGUGAAUAUAAUCACUCAAACGUCAUUGACGCACGAUUUUUCGAUUUUGCAGUCUUUUAAUCAGCCGUACGACUGACUGGUCAACUAACAAAGCUAUAAAUGGCUACAGCCAAAACUGAGGAAUCAUUUAGUCAAGUCAUUCGUAUGAAUGUUGCCCUGUUAAAAUUUUCCGGGACCAUUCCGAUGGACGAUGAGAUUUCCUCGAAGACGCUCCUCAGCUGCGGCUUGACCAUCAUUUCCGGCGCCGCACUGAUACUUCACACUUCGGCCUAUAUCUACGACUUUCUCAUUCACGCGGCUUUCUUGGAGACAGCGAUCGAGUCCCUCGCCUUGAUAAUCGCCCUUUUCGGAGGACUUGUACGUUACCUGAUUGCCUACUGGUUACGAGGCGAUAUGCAUAAAAUAUUGCGGACCCUCGACGAUCUGUGGAAGACUGCAUCCGAUGAUGAGCGUCGAUGUGUCAAUUCGCUAAUGAAAGGCGCGAAAAACCUCACCUACUUCUUCUUGUCGCAGUGCAUAUUCACAAUAUUUUUUUACACAAUCGCGCCACUCUUCGUCCAUUUACACGACAGUAACUCAAACGCGACCAGAAGUUUACCUUACGCCUUUUUUACCGAGGUAAAUCAGUCACCCUGCUACGAAAUUCUCUACUUUAUUCAGGUUUUUAGUAUGCUUAAUGUCGGUGUGACUUGUGUCGGCGUUGACAUGGCUGGACCACUUUUGAUAACAACCGUCUGCGGACACUUGAGAGUUAUCCGGAACCGAUUCAGAAGUAUGGAACAAUCGAUGAAGAUUCAAAUGAACGACAAGAGCGACAAAAUCAUUCCUCGUAUCUCUGACCGCUAUAACCAAGCAAUAGUGGAUUCCAGGUUGGAAAUCGGAAUAAACAAUCCUGUAGAAACGUCAGUGGCGUCUGAGCUUAGGUCUUGUCUUAAUUAUCACAAAAUAAUUCUCAAAAUAUGCAUGCACAUCGAACGAUUAACGAAGAUCAUAUUUCUCACGCAACUUAUCGGGAGCACUUACAUCUUAUCAGCGGUUGGGUUCAAAUUGACCGGGAAUGACCAGGACAAAUUCAAGUACUCUUCGCAAAUUGUCAUUGGACUGGUUCAACUCCUAAUAUGCAACUGGCCACCGCACGAUCUGAUGACAGAGCAAUUGCAGACGCUGCUUAUUUUGUCCCGUGGUAUCAUUGGCCAAGUGCCCUUCAAAAAUCUAUUCAAAUCGUGAUCCUGAGAGCUCAAAAGCCGGUCCGAUUGACAGCUGGAAAAUUCGUGUACCUCUCCCUGGAAACUUUUGCAUCGAUGGUUUCAUCGGCUGUCUCCUUUUUCACGGUGCUAAGGUCAUUCAAUCAGGACAAACAACUGUAAUCAGCAAACUCGAUACACCGACGAAAAACAAUCUACUGAGCUUAUUUCAAUUCGAAUACAUGUGCUGUGUAAAUUUUCCAAUUCUUAAAUAUUUUUUUCACUUUCAUGAUCAUGCUGCGCACGAACUGUGAAGCCCUGUCAAAUCUCGAUUACGAUAUUUGAUUCACUAGUCAUUCAAAACGUCAAUGGCGAUGGUCCUUUUGCCGAAGCUGAGUAAUAGACGUGAAAAUGGUUGCAUAUCUCACUAACACUGAUCUCGCAUAUCUGUAAAGUGAGACGACGAAGGUUAUAAACGUUACUCGAAAAGAU
rnacentral:misc_RNA from 1 species